AGACGGGGGGUGCUAGCGUUGUUCGGAAUCACUGGGCGUAAAGGGCGCGUAGGCGGCCGCGCAAGUCGGAUGUGAAAGCCCGGGGCUCAACUCCGGAAUGGCAUCCGGGACUGCGUGGCUGGAGACCGGAAGAGGAGGGUGGAAUUCCCAGUGUAGAGGUGAAAUUCGUAGAUAUUGGGAGGAACACCGGUGGCGAAAGCGGCUCUCUGGUCCGGUUCUGACGCUGAGGCGCGAAAGCGUGGGGAGCAAACAGGAUUAGAUACCCUGGUAGUCCACGCCCUAAACGAUGUGCGCUGGAUGUCGGGAGCAUGGCUUCCGGUGUCGUAGCUAACGCGUUAAGCGCACCGCCUGGGGAGUACGGCCGCAAGGUUGAA
rnacentral:rRNA from 1 species